rnacentral:lncRNA from 1 species
AUGAGAUUUUUUAAACCGAGCUCUCGGUCACUGCUGGCUCCUGUCCCACACUGUGCUGGCACCUGGUGUGCCCAGGCGGCACCUGUCUCUCUGUCCCCCCCCAUGUCCCCGCACCCUCAGCUCCCCCUACGUCUGUCUGUCCCCUCCCUGUCUGUCCCCUCACUGUCCCUCUGUCCCCUCCGUGUCCCUCUGUCCCCUCACGCCCCUCAGGGUCCCCUCACGCCCCUCAGCCCCCCCCACCCCCCUUCACAGCCGCGUCCCCUCCUCCCCAGGAUCCCCAACUGUCACCGCUCCCUCCGCUCGCCCCGAUCCCCGCUUUGCCCCCGGUUCCUCCCGAGCCCCCCCCGGUUCCCCGCCCGCCCCCGGCGCCGCCGCCGCCCCCGGAGCCCCCCGGGACUCACCGGGCCCGACCCCGCCUCAGCCCAGCCCGGCCGCUCCCACACCGGAACCGCCUCAGCGCGCGACACCUCACUUCCGCCCGGACCGCACCAUCCGCUGUCCGGGGGGAGACCGGGGUGGAGGAUCACUCUCUUCCUGCUCUCCACACCUCGCCCCCCAGAGCAGCUUCUCCCUACAGAGAUCCUGAGGAGCCCUCUCGUCUUCCCUCGCACGGGGGUUGUGAGGGGCCGUGACGCUCCUAAACCCUGGACCGCUGAGCUCCCCCCCUGCACGCCCGCGCUUGGUACGCUCCGAUUGGCCCCGCAGCCGGCGCGGGGUGGGCGGGGACGAGCAGGGUCCCGUGGCUCGCGCUCAUUGGCCAGGCGCGGCGGGGCUCGGCCAAUCAGAAAAAUCCCCCGCGCGACGCCGCUGGGCCGGCGGCUGUUGCUAAGGGAGGGGCGGCGCGGGCGAGGGGAGCGGCGCCCUGAGCUGCACGGGGCCGCCCAGCCCGAGCCGGGUUUGUUCCUCUCCCCGUUUCACCCCCGGUGUUUCGCGGCCGCGGCGACUUCCCCGAUCCCUUCCCCUCACAAACUCCUCACAAACCGACCCUCCCUUCACACUUCUCCCUCACAGCGCUCAGCCAGUCAGCGACGUCUUCUUUGCGCGCCUCAUCUCUGA